CCUACGGGAUGCAGCAGUGAGGAAUAUUGGUCAAUGGACGCAAGUCUGAACCAGCCAUGCCGCGUGCAGGAAGACGGAGGGAGGAGGAGUAAACUGCUUUUGUACGAGGGUAAACGCAGAUACGCGUAUCUGUCUGAAAGUAUCGUACGAAUAAGGAUCGGCUAACUCCGUGCCAGCAGCCGCGGUAAUACGGAGGCUUCAAGCGUUAUCCGGAUUUAUUGGGUUUAAAGGGUGCGUAGGCGGUCGGAUAAGUUAGAGGUGAAAUCCCGAGGCUCAACUUCGGAAUUGCCUCUGAUACUGGUCGGCUAGAGAGUAGUUGCGGUAGGCGGAAUGUAUGGUGUAGCGGUGAAAUGCUUAGAGAUCAUACAGAACACCGAUUGCGAAGGCAGCUUACCAAGCUACUUCUGACGUUGAGGCACGAAAGCGUGGGGAGCAAACAGGAUUAGAUACCCGGGUAGUC
rnacentral:rRNA from 1 species